rnacentral:rRNA from 1 species
CCUACGGGAGGCAGCAGUGGGGGAUAUUGCACAAUGGGGGAAACCCUGAUGCAGCGACGCCGCGUGUGGGAAGACGGUCCUCUGGAUUGUAAACCACUGUCCCCAGGGACGAAGAUGACGGUACCUGGGGAGGAAGCUCCGGCUAACUACGUAACGGCAGCCUCGGUAAUACGUAGGUAGCGCGCGUUGUCCGGAAUUACGGGGUGUAAAGGGAGCGUAGGCGGGACUGCAAGGUGGGGGUAAAAUCUACCGGCUCAACCGGUAGCCGCACUCAAAACUGCAGGUCUUGAGUGAAGUAGAGGCAGGCGGAAUUCCUAGGGUAGCGGUGAAAUGCGUAGAUAUUAGGAGGAACACC